GACGAACGCUGGCGGCGUGCCUAAUACAUGCAAGUCGAACGCACAGUUUAUACCGUAGCUUGCUACACCAUAGACUGUGAGUUGCGAACGGGUGAGUAACGCGUAGGUAACCUGCCUGGUAGCGGGGGAUAACUAUUGGAAACGAUAGCUAAUACCGCAUAAUAUUAAUUAUUGCAUGAUAAUUAAUUGAAAGGUGCAAUUGCAACACUACCAGAUGGACCUGCGUUGUAUUAGCUAGUAGGGGAGGUAACGGCUCACCUAGGCGAAGAUACAUAGCCGACCUGAGAGGGUGGUCGGCCACACUGGGACUGGGACACGGCCCAGACUCCUACGGGAGGCAACAGUAGGGAAUCUUCGGCCAUGGACGGAAGUCUGACCGAGCAACGCCGCGUGAGUGAAGAAGGUUUUCGGAUCGUAAAGCUCUGUUGUAAGAGAAGAACGGGUGUGAGAGUGGAAAGUUCACACUGUGACGGUAUCUUACCAGAAAGGGACGGCUAACUACGUG
rnacentral:rRNA from 1 species